GGAGGCAGCAGUGGGGAAUAUUGCACAAUGGAGGAAACUCUGAUGCAGCCAUGCCGCGUGUGUGAAGAAGGCUUUCGGGUUGUAAAGCACUUUCAGCGAGGAGGAAAGGGUAAUGUUUAAUACGCAUUAUCUGUGACGUUACUCGCAGAAGAAGCACCGGCUAACUCCGUGCCAGCAGCCGCGGUAAUACGGAGGGUGCAAGCGUUAAUCGGAAUUACUGGGCGUAAAGCGCGCGUAGGCGGUUAAUCAAGUCAGAUGUGAAAGCCCAGGGCUCAACCUUGGAACUGCAUUUGAAACUGAUUGACUAGAGUUUUGUAGAGGGUGGUAGAAUUUCAGGUGUAGCGGUGAAAUGCGUAGAGAUCUGAAGGAAUACCAGUGGCGAAGGCGGCCACCUGGACAAAGACUGACGCUGAGGCGCGAAGGCGUGGGGAGCAAACGGGAUUAGAUACCCCGGUAGUCCACGCAGUAAACGAUGUCUAUUAGAAGUUUGUGGCUAUAUGCCGUGGGUUUCAAAGCUAACGCAUUAAAUAGACCGCCUGGGGAGUACGGCCGCAAGGUUAAAACUCAAAUGAAUUGACGGGGGCCCGCACAAGCGGUGGAGCAUGUGGUUUAAUUCGAUGCAACGCGAAGAACCUUACCAUCCCUUGACAUCCAGAGAAUCACCUAGAGAUAGAUGAGUGCCUUCGGGAACUCUGAGACAGGUGCUGCAUGGCUGUCGUCAGCUCGUGUUGUGAAAUGUUGGGUUAAGUCCCGCAACGAGCGCAACCCUUAUCCUUAGUUGCCAGCACGUAAUGGUGGGAACUCUAGGGAGACUGCCGGUGAUAAACCGGAGGAAGGUGGGGACGACGUCAAGUCCUCAUGG
rnacentral:rRNA from 1 species